UCAUCCUAGGAUAUGUGCUAUCAGCCAUGUGUCCCACUCCCCACCCCUCACAUCCUGUUUGCUCUGGGGAAAUUCAGUAACCACCUGUCCACAUGCGGUUUCUUUUCUAUGAAGAUGAAGCACAGAGGCAUGCUUCCUACACGGCUGAUGGGAGGACCUGGGGCACCAGAGGCCAGCUGCCAGGCCUCUGCUGCCCCUCACUCUGCUCUGCCUGCCUCCUUGCCCUCAGCAACCACCAUUCCUGCUUCCCCACUUGACCUCCCAGCUUCAUUUCCUCACCCUUCGCCAUCAAGUGGCCAUGUGGCUGGUCUCAAUUCUGGGCUCUUCAGGUAUGAGCUGCUGCUCCUGGGCUCCUGUGAAUGGACGACAAUAAUAUUACGCACUCAGCUGGUUGGCGGGCAGGGCUGAGCCACCACUGGCAUGUGGGGAAGGAUCCUGAGCGGCCACUUCAGGGAUUCACUCAGGGCAGGAGGAGGAUCCGUCUCAGACUCAACACAGAAAACCUUUGGUGAAGGACCCGCAGAGGGGCUGGUGACUGUUUCCAAAUCAAGUCAUGCCGUCAUUAAAGUUCACCGGAUUAUCUCCAGAGCAUUUUAUCAGGAACACCAAUUCCGUCCCAGAAGGAAAUUCUGCCCAGAUCAGGCGAGGGGCAAUUUUCAAGGAACUACAUGGAGCUCGGAGCAUCUUCUUCAGCAGAUCCAAUAUGUGGUCCUCCAAGUGGCAGCCUGGGGACUCACGGCCUGGCAGCCAGGAUGCCCCGCAGACCUGGUGCAGGUCCGGCUGAGGUGGGCUGAUAGCCGGCUGCCAUCCCACAGGCCCAAGGGCUUGAGGAAGGCAUGUGGGUCAUAGCCCAGCCUCCAGGAGGAGAAGACUUAGACACCAGGACAAGUGCACACUUUUGCAAAGUCCCUCCAGGAUACUGGAGGAAGAUGAUCCUGCAUUGAGUGGACAUGAAGGCACUCGGUUUUGGAUGGAUGCACUGAGCAGCAGGCCAGUGCAGCAUUACCUGCAGAUCCCAGCAAAGACUCAGAAAGUCCAGUUGGCAACUUGGGCAGGGAUGGCGGCUCUCUGCUCCAUCUAGUCAUUCAGGGAAGUGCUGCCAUUGUCGACAUGAGGAUUUAAAGUCAUCAGGGGAGGGUGAAGACAGCACAAGCAGGACUGGGCCACAGGUGUCUGCAACCUACACCCAGACCCUAGCUUUUACAGUCAGGGAGGUGAGAGGUCAAGGAAGAGGGAGGCCAUGGUGCGAAGAAUAUCGUGGAUGGAGAUGGAUGAGGUCAGAAUUGGGAUGCGCAAGCAACUCGUGAUCAAGACACCA